AGCGGCAAAAGCUCAAAUUUGAAAUCUGGCACUUUCAGUGUCCGAGUUGUAAUUUGAAGAAGGUAUCUUUGGGUCUGGCUCUUGUCUAUGUUUCUUGGAACAGAACGUCACAGAGGGUGAGAAUCCCGUGCGAUGAGAUGUCCCAGACCUAUGUAAAGUUCCUUCGAAGAGUCGAGUUGUUUGGGAAUGCAGCUCUAAGUGGGUGGUAAAUUCCAUCUAAAGCUAAAUAUUGGCGAGAGACCGAUAGCGAACAAGUACAGUGAUGGAAAGAUGAAAAGAACUUUGAAAAGAGAGUGAAAAAGUACGUGAAAUUGUUGAAAGGGAAGGGCUUGAGAUCAGACUUGGUAUUUUGUAUGUUACUCUCUCGGGGGUGGCCUCUACAGUUUACCGGGCCAGCAUCAGUUUGAGCGGUAGGAUAAGUGCAAAGAAAUGUGGCACUGCUUCGGUAGUGUGUUAUAGUCUUUGUCGAUACUGCCAGCUUAGACUGAGGACUGCGGCUUCGGCCUAGGA
rnacentral:rRNA from 1 species